GACGGGGGAUGCAAGUGUUAUCCGGAAUAAUUGGGCGUAAAGCGUCUGUAGGUGGUUUAUCAAGUCUGUUGUUAAAAAUUAGGGCUUAACCCUGAUCCGGCAACAGAAACUAAUAAGCUAGAGUACGGUAGGGGCAGAGGGAAUUCUCGAUGUAGUGGUGAAAUACGUAGAUAUCGAGAAGAACACCAACAGCGAAAGCACUCUGCUGGGCCGAAACUGACAUUGAGAGACGAGAGCUAGGGGAGCGAAAGGG
rnacentral:rRNA from 1 species